rnacentral:rRNA from 1 species
AUUGAACGCUGGCGGCAGGCCUAACACAUGCAAGUCGAACGAGGGGCGGACGGGUGAGUAAUGUCUGGGAAACUGCCUGAUGGAGGGGGAUAACUACUGGAAACGGUAGCUAAUACCGCAUACCAUCAGAUGGGCCCAGAUGGGAUUAGCUAGUUGGUGGGGUAACGGCUCACCAGGGCGACGAUCCCUGGCUGGUCUGAGAGGAUGACCGGCCACACUGGAACUGAGACACGGUCCAGACGCCUACGGUAGGCAGCAGUGGGGAACAUUGGACAAUGGGCGCAAGCCUGAUGCAGUCAUGCCGCGUGUAUGAAGAAGGCCUUCGGGUUGUAAAGUACUUUCAGCGGGGAGGCGUUACCCGCAGAAGAAGCACCGGCUAACUCCGUGCCAGCAGCCGCGGUAAUAC